ensembl:lncRNA
AGCCAGGAGAAGAAAAUGAAGGAGAAGCGGAGAGCAACUAUGUGCAAUGCCUCAGCUUCGUCCAGGAAGAGAGAGCUCAGAAUUUACUGGUUACUUUGAAAAGAGCUAUUUCAUUGAAUGGUAGGGAUGAAACUUGGUGUGCAAAUGAGGUCAAGAGAAAAGAAGAGGAGGAAAUGAUGAAUAAAGAGAACUCUUUUGAGACAUUCUCUAUAAAGAGGAAUAUGGCAACAAUCAGAGAAUAGUAUAGUGAAACAGGGAAAAAGUCAUAAGCCAAAAGAGAUCAGAAGAAGUAUUGGAGUUUUGAGGAGACCACAGCUGUGACAAGAUCAUCUAGGAAAAUGAGGACUAUUAUCCAAAACAUUAGCUCAACCACAGGAGGUACCUUCACCACAGUCCAAAGUUUGGGGAGUCUUUUCUAGAGGAUUUCUGUUUACACUCAAUCCAAAGAUGCAGCUAUCCCUAAACAGAGGUAAGUAAAUGGGGAAGAGUUGGGAAAGUAGGGAAUGUACUGGCUGUUUCUUUUUUCUUUUUCUUUCUUAGAAACAUCUUCAUUAU